rnacentral:rRNA from 1 species
AACGAACGCUGGCGGCGCGUUUUAAGCAUGCAAGUCGAGCGGCAGGGGGGCUUCGGUCCCCCGAGAGCGGCGGACGGGUGAGUAACACGUGGACAACCUGCCCCCCGGUUCGGGAUAGCCCAGGGAAACCUGGAUCAAUACCGGAUGCGAGGGCGGCCGCACAAGCGGCCGUCGGGAAAGGCGCUUCGGCGCCGCCGGGGGGAUGGGUCCGCGUCCCAUUAGCUAGACGGUGGGGUAACGGCCCACCGUGGCGAUGAUGGGUAGCCGGCCUGAGAGGGUGGACGGCCACAUUGGAACUGAGACACGGUCCAGACUCCUACGGGAGGCAGCAGCUAAGAAUCUUCCGCAAUGGGCGAAAGCCUGACGGAGCGACGCCGCGUGAACGAAGAAGGCCGUGAGGUUGUAAAGUUCUUUUCGGGAGGGGGAACGAGGCUGCCAGGCAAUGGGCGGCCGAUGACGUGAAUCCCGGAAUAAGCCCGGCUAACUACGUG